rnacentral:rRNA from 1 species
GUGGGGAAUAUUGGACAAUGGGGGGAACCCUGAUCCAGCCAUGCCGCGUGUGUGAAGAAGGCCUUUUGGUUGUAAAGCACUUUAAGCGAGGAGGAGGCUACCGAGAUUAAUACUCUUGGAUAGUGGACGUUACUCGCAGAAUAAGCACCGGCUAACUCUGUGCCAGCAGCCGCGGUAAUACAGAGGGUGCAAGCGUUAAUCGGAUUUACUGGGCGUAAAGCGCGCGUAGGUGGCCAAUUUAGUCAAAUGUGAAAUCCCCGAGCUUAACUUGGGAAUUGCAUUCGAUACUGGUUGGCUAGAGUAUGGGAGAGGAUGGUAGAAUUCCAGGUGUAGCGGUGAAAUGCGUAGAGAUCUGGAGGAAUACCGAUGGCGAAGGCAGCCAUCUGGCCUAAUACUGACACUGAGGUGCGAAAGCAUGGGGAGCAAACAGGAUUAGAAACCCUGGUAGUCC